UUACGAACCAAACUUGGCAACUCAAUGUCCUGCUCGUUAGUUGCUGCUGUGGAGAACAUGGACAAGAUAUUUCCAAUGGUAUUUCGGGGUAGACGAGGUUUGAUCAUUGUACGUAUGUUUAAGAAGUGAACCAACUUUGAUGGUAGCAUUGAUGAUGAUGCCUUUGUUGCACAUUUGAAAAGAAGAGCGCUAACAACUUCUGCCCUUGUUGGAUUUUCUACUCCUGAUUCUACUGCCACCUUCAAACCCAAAUUAAUGUCAACCAAACUAAAUUUAUUUUAAAAUAAUUAGUACUCCUUGUCAUUUCAGAAAAACUACAAGUAUUUAUUACUGCAUUCUUUUAUAUUUUCCACUUUACUGUUCGAUAAUUAAGUGGAGUGUUAUUAAGUAAAGGACAUGUCCAAGAGUAGCCUUGACUCCAAUAAGUGAAGUGCUAUUAACUAAGUGAGGCGUUUAAGAGUAGUCUCUACAAAUAGACUAAUAGCCCAGGCUUGUUAACAUGUCGAAUUGAGGACCUCUGCCUGCUGCAUGUGGUAUCAUGCAUGUUGGAAGUAUAUGAUCAUCUCAUUUAAAAGAUUAAAAUGUUAUAAAAAACACGUGUUUUUUUUCUUGAUUAUUAUAUCUCAACAAGACUAUUAAACGUUUUUCUUUUCAAAAAUACCAUUAGACAAACAAAAAUGAACGACUAAUGGUAGUGUUAAUACCAAAAAUACCGGAAGACAAAUUAAAAUCUUACGCAUAUUUAAGGCAACGCAUGAAUCCUAAAAAACUUCCGUUCUAUCUAAAACCCAGUGUCAAAUCAAACCAUUCUUCCAUACAAAUUUAAUUUGGUGGAUUAUUAUAUUUCAAAAAUGUAUUGCAAAAGAAAAUCUUAAAAGACUGACAAUAAUGGAGUGAUGGUAGUCUUACCUUAGCUCGAAGUGCAUCUAACUUGUCUGUAGGAAAAAUGAAUCUUUUCUGUACGCAUUCACUAAGAUCGGACACUAUUUGUGGCGUAAUAAGAGGGCCAUAUUUUUGUGUAGAGAAAAUUGAAUCUCCUAUAAACCUAGGAGAAGGAAUUAGAGUCGUUGUCGUCAUAUGAUCACGAGUAACGCUAGACCAAUCAUUAAGGAAAUUAAGUAGAGAGCAACCAUCACCGAUCUUGUGUGAAAAGCAUAUACUAAUGGCUAUUCCUCCACAAUCAAACUUACUUACUUGAACUACAAGCAAAUUACCACCUUCAUAAUUAUUUGCCCAAGGCAAAUCCUUGGGAAAAACUAUGCCCUCUGCAUGAGCAGCACGAGGAUGAUCAAGAAUUUCAGACAUGGAACAUUUUAUUCGAACACUCAAGAACUCAGCUCCCAUAUCGUUACAAUCAACAGUAGCGUUAUCUCUCAAUUUUCCAGCGUAAGGAUAGUAAGAGACUAGAGUUUGUGAUAGAGAUGUUUGUAGCAAGUGGGCUAUCUGGGAAAGCUCAUCAGAAUUUUUGGACUCUUGUCUUUGUUGUACUUUAGGGUAAAAAAAUGCAAAAGGGAUAUACAUAUUACUGAGGGAUUGAUCCACAAAGGAUAGCUUGUGAAAUCUCUGUGUAGAAGGGGUAAGAGAGGAAGGUUUGAUAAAAGAUUUGUCAAAAACUGAAACAAGUGAUGAUGGUAAUGCAAAAGCCAUAAUUAAUUUAACAAAUAUAUGCAAUAUAUGCUGCUGUUUGACAUUUUCUUGCAUAUAUGGAUACACUUCUAUAGACAAAAGGAAAUGAAAUAAUAGAGUUAAUGGCUAAACAACCCCUACCCAACCCCCAAACUAUAGGUUAUUUAUUACUAAACUUUACCUUAUUUUUGUCACCCCUUGAUUUUUUUUUCCCUCCGGUGUCCCGGUGCCUGCAUUGGAGCCUCGACUAGUUCGGAUCGUGCGUUGCAGGGCCCAUUAAGGUGACAACGCUCCCAACUUAAUUUUCUCCAUACCCAGGGUCGAACCCUCGACCUCUGGUCAAGGGUGAAGCAGCCCUAUCUGCUGCACCACAACCCAUGUUGGUAUCACCCCUUGAUAUUCAACUUAUAGAAGGCUGGUUGCACUGCGGCGUUGUUGUCAGCAUGGAGACGGUUAAGAGGAAAUUAGUAAAUACUAGUAAUAUAUUGCGUCUUACAAUAAUAUUAUUCCUAUUAUAUGUAAUGCAUGUAACUAGUUUCACCGGACGCGCAUUGCACGUGUUUUAAAUUAUGUUAGUACACAAUUUGAUACAUAAUAUUAAUAUGUUUAAAACAAAUAUUUGGGCAAAUAGUAGUAUCAACAUCACACCUAGAAGAAGAUGAAAAUGUACAAAUCCUAAUCUCUUCCCACAAAAUGAACAAACCUCGCAUUUAUGACAGAUGAAGUUUAAGAGGAAGCAGCAAGAUAAAGCGUACUACCAAAAAGAAAACAAAACACUACAAAUAGAGAACGAAAUUUAAUCUUCUAAUACUACGCGGACAUAUAUUAUCUUCUGAUACAACACAAAGUAAAGUUUCUUUGGAAUUAAAAUUAUUCUUUUGCCAAAAAAAAGAAGAAGAAGAAGAAAUCACUACACUAAGUGGAAAUAGAAAAUCUAAUUCGACUCACGCAAAUUUAGGUACGUGCGGGCUUAGUAUGAUUCAAAAUCCUAAUUGUUGAAAAAAGUCUUAAUAAAAAAUUACCAUUCUAUUCAAUACUAAAUAAUAUUUAAUGGAAAUAAAUAAUUGGAUUACUUUAUUUAUUAGGUUACUUCUAACCAGCUAAAAUACCUCCCACCUAUAAUAAAUGUAGGUUACUGAUAUUAAUACAUAACAUAAAAUGAACAACUAAACCUACGGCACCUAAAAUAGACUCCAAAGCCUACCAAAUAUAUUCAAUUGAGAAUAUUGUAUAAAAAUUUAAAAAAAUAGUAAAAAAAUAAUUUUGUUUAAGGCGAAAAUUUUUAAUAAAGGACAAAAAAGUUCAGAUAAUAUUUCUAACGUCUUUCACAUUUUUAAUAUAUUAGAAAUAGAGAUAGAGAUUAUAGAUUAGAAAUUAGAGAUUGAAAUCAGAGAUUAAAGAUUACAAAUAAAAAUAUAGAUUAGAGAUUAAAGAUAGGAAUUAGGAGAUUACAUAUAAAAAUUAGAAAUCAAGUUAUUUUAUUUUAUUUGCAGAAAAAAAAAAUAGGGGAGAGUCGACGUGUGAGAAAGAAGAAGAAUGAGCAGGAUUAGGAUCAAUGGGUCGAGUAAUAGUAAAAGAUGUAACUUUAACCUCAUCAUCUUACCUCAAUAGAUAAUUUAGCUAUACAAAUAAAUAUCCUUUGGCCAAUUGUAGCUGAGGUUGAGAUGUGGGGGUAACCAUACCGCCGUAAUUGCCAAAUUAAAAUUGCAUGCAACAUAUAUAUACGUUUAUGUGGGGGGGCAAUACAGCCGUAAUUGACCAAUUUGUUUGACUAGAAUCCAUUUUUGGCUCUUUCCUAAUUAAUGAAAGCUAUCUAUUUAUAUUGUGCACGACACAGUGGCAAGAGAAGCAGCGGACAAUCUAAGAAGAAAAUAAUAUGGGUGGAAAAUUAGAGAUUGUUAAAAAUAGCAUAGAUCUUCAUCAUUCAAAUUUAUAAUUAUUAGAAGAAGAAAAAAAAAUCUCAUAUAUGUGAUGAAUGCGAUGUAUGAUUAAUUUAUAAGGUUUGAACAAUCUUUUUUUUUAUUUGAAUUAAUUUUUGAAAUGUGAAUUAGAAAAAGACACUGUGGAGGAGAUCGUAACUCUUACUUCAUUCUGAAGUUUCACAAGUGAAACUCUAAUAUAUCAUUGGUAAUUUAGGUUCUUCUAAUUGUGAUUCUCUUCUGAUAAAGAUGAAGGAUAUGAACAAAUGGGGAACUCCGAAUCAAAAUAAGCCACAAAAUAAAAUAAAAAUAAUUAAAAUAGGUCACUUAUUUAAAAAGUUAUCAAAAUAGACUAAAUAUAAGAAAUUAUUACGUUUUUCACUUUUUUCUUAACGGUCAACACGGUUUAUAAACGUAAUAAUUUAUUACGUUUUGCACAAAAAAUAAUGUGCCGUCACAUCUUCUUUAUGUCAAAUCAUGUAGUUUGUAAUAACUUAUUACAUUUUACAAACAGUGUUUAUAAAACAUAAUAAUUUAUUACAAACUACAAACAGUGUUUGUAAGUUGUAAUAAAUUAUUACAACUUACAUCUAACCGCAUCACAUCACAUUUGCUUUUUCCACUUUUAAAUUUAACUCACUCCACCCCACUUUUAAAUGUAACCUACCCCACCCCUUGUAGAACCCUCUCACACCACCCCUAACCCACCCAACCACCCCUGCCCUUGCCCCUGCCCUUGCCCUUUUUUUUAUUUUUUUAUUUUUGUAUUAAGACUUUGUUCUCUUCCUUUUCAAGUUUAAGUUGUUAGUAAAAAAUUAAGGUAGCUAGUGUCCAUUUUUUGGAUUCAUACUAAGUUCCACUACUAAACUUCAUUUGAAGAAUCUCCAUCGAUCCCCCACUCCCCUUUACUUAGUUCUUUUAUUUUUUUUUGUGUGUUAAAAAUAUGAAAUUAAUUUUUUCGAUUAAUGUUUCAUAUUAGUUUCUGAUUAGUGUUUUGAUUAAGAUUUUGAGAAAACUUACACGGACAAAUACAUUUUUUAUUAUAAUUAAUAAAGUAAGAAGUCGCAAUUUAAGUUACGGGUGUAUAAAAAUUGAACCGAUAAAAAUAUUAUUGAUUUAUCUUUAUUGGUUAAUGAUUUUUUAAUGAUUUUAUAAAAAAAUUGGGUUAUUGAUUCAAUUUUGAUUUUUUUAUUGGGUUAUUGGGUAAAUCGAUAACCGAUUAAGAUUAUACGAAAUUAUUAUUUACACCCUCCAUAUAUAUAUAAAUAUAUACUAGAAGUGCAAGGCCCAUGUCAGCACGGUCCCAACAAUAGAACAUGUGAUUUGCAAUUUUUAAGUUUUAGGAUUUAUGUUAAAAUAAGAAGUUCGAGCGGUAGAAUGUUUUCAUUAGUACGAUUGAGCUCAGGGGAUCACAAGCUUGUGUCAGUAUGGGCUCAAUAUUAAGAUAUUUUAAUUAUGUACGAUAAGUUAGAUUGAUGUCAAUUUGAAUUAUAAAACAUGAAUAUACAAAACAUAUUAACUACUUGAUAGUAUUUUUGAAGGAGCCAAAUUAUUUCACAAGAUAAUCAUGUAUAACUUACUUAUAUAAAUAACACAAUUCUACGCAUUUUGAAGUUAAGAUCUUUAAUCAUAUUACUGAAAUUUGUUACAUUAAGUAUAAAAUAUGAGAUUAAAAUUACUACAUAAGACUUGACACUUGUUGUAUAAAAUAGAGAAUAAUUGUUGAAAAAGAUAAAUGGUUAUCUACUCAUUGCAUAUUACAUCACAUGUGAGUUGUAAUAAUAGGUUAAUUAAAAUUGUAUUCCCCCACUAAGCUGACAUAAACGUCCUUUGCUUUCAUUUCUGCUCUUUUUUUUAUUUGUCAACUUGUUAUUUGAAGUUAAAAUUAAUUUAAUAUUUUAAAUUUAAAUUUUAAGUGUUUUGAAAAUUAUAUAUAUAAAAAAAUAAACUAUAAUUUACCAUCUGUCAUAUUAAUUUAAGUCAUUUGACUUUGAGAACAGAUAAAAAAUACUUCAAUAAAUGUUUUAUCGAACUUUGCUUUUGUAUAUGUUGUUUCCAUUGAAACGUAGGAGUCAUUUGUUAGAGUAAAAAUAAUUUUGAAUAGAAUAUAUUAGUAAUGUUUACAUUAUUAAUAUUUGUAUUAGUAAUGUUGGUAUUAUUUGUACUAAUAUUAUUUCUUAUACACUAUUUGAUGUGUUGUAUUAAACUUGUCUUUUCAAUCUUGAUAUAUUUAAACAAAAAAAAAAACUAAAAGAAGAUUGCAUAUACAUUCUAAAAUUUAUCCGAAAUUUAGCACGGGUUCAAUAUAUGCAAUUUGUUUCUCAAUUUAUAUGACGCAAAUAGAAUUAGGAUAAUCAAUCACACUUUUAAUAUGUAUUUAGAUAAUUUAAGUUAUUAACUACUAUAAUUUAUAAUAUUUUUUAUUUAAUUUUUAAAUAAUAUACAUUACUUUUCUUGUCCAAACUUUUGUGAUAUUGAUAGUCAAUUAUAUUUAUAAAAUAAUUUAAGUUUUAAAUUUUUGUGAUUUAUAAUACUUUUCUUCUAUUAUAUUUAAGUGACACUAAUAUAACUUCGAGAAUCAACCGAAUAUUUUAUAUUUUUUAAAAAAAAUUAAGUUGUUAAUUAUUGUGAUUUAUAAUUUUUUAUAUAUUUUUUUGAAAUAUAUAACAAAUUAAGUUAUUUUUAGAUCUUUUAAGUUGUUAAUUAUUGUAAUUUAUAAUACUUUUUAUGUAAUUUUUGAAUAAGAUAUGUUACUCUCCUUGUCCAGAGUUUUGCGUCAUUGAUAGCCAAUUAUAUUUUUUUAGAUAAUUUAAAUUUUUAAUUAUUGUGCUUUAUAAUAUUUCUUCUAUUCAAAUUUAAGUGACACAAUGCUUCAUAGAUGUCUUAAAUGACUUACAGCGACUAAUUAGAAGUGACAAAGCAAAAUUACUAUAAAAAUACCUGUGAAAAAAUUUAAGUGGAUCUCAUAUAAGAUGUCAAGUUAAUUUAAAACAUCAAGAGUUAAUUUUUCACUUUUCUAUCUAUUUUAUCAUUUUUUAAAAUAUUAUUAAUUUUUAAUACAUAAAUAACUUAUAAUAAUUAAUUAGAAGUGAUAUAGCAAAAUCAUGAUUGAAGCAGCUGAAGCAGACAUGUCAAUAUGUCAUAACUAUUUAUUUUAUAUUUUAUAAUAAAUAUUAUUAAUUUUUAAUACAUAAAUGACUUAUAAUAAUUAAUUAGGGAUAAUAUAAUAAAAUCACGAAUUGAAUAUUAUUAAAUUUUCAAUAUAAAAAUGACUUAUAAUAAUUUAUUAAAGGCGAUAUAGUAAAAGUAUGAUUGAAGCAUACAUGUCAUAAAUGUCUAUUUUAUUUUUUAAUAUUAAUUUUUUAAUAUAUAACUGGCUUAUAAUAAUUAAUUAGGGGUGAUAUAGGAAUGUUGGUGAAUUUCUAAAAAUCAAAAAACACUAAUUAUUAGGUUUAUUUAGUUAAAAUCAUAAUUCAGUAGGUUUUAGAUAAAUCGAGAAAACUAUCGAAUUAAUCAAAUAAGUUAUAUGAGUAAAACAUUUUAUAUAUUAAGUUUUUUAAAAAUGAAAUAUUAAAAUUUUGGCUUUUAGUUUGAGGUGAUUAAAAUAACUACAAUCUAAUAAAUAAUUAAUGCUCAAAGUUUUAAUUAAAAAAUCAAUUAACUUGUAGGUAUAGUAUGCUUAACUCAAUAUAGAUAAUAUCAUUUUCAUAUACAAAAAUAACCAAUUAUUAUUAUUUCAUAACAAAUUAUGUUUAACCUUAUAUAAGUAAAAUCUUGUUACAUAUUUUUCUUUAGUUUCUUUUUGUUGGUAUAUAUUGACUUGGCACGAAUUUAAAAAAAAAUUUUAUUAAAAAUUUAUUUUACUAAAUUAGCUUUAUUAAUUUUACAUUAAAAAUUUAAAUUAGGCAAACUUGUAUUUAAUGAAACAAAUAAGGAAGAAAGCAAAUUAUAUGUUUGACAUGAAACGUAAAUAAAGAAUAAAAUGUAUUUAAUUAUAUUUAUCAUAUUAAUUAUUACAAUAAAUUAUUAUCUUAUUAAUCAAUUUACUUUAAUAUAAUAUAUUUCAAACAAUUUUUUAUAUAUAUAACCUAAAUAAAAGUAGCAUGUAGGUACUCACCUUCAUCCUAAAUACAAUGAGAAAUACAAUUUUUAUAGAAUAAUUAUCUCUUUUUAGGAAAAAAAGAUAAAUAAAAUAAAAAAUAGACGAUAGAUAUAGGGCCUGCUUGUGAAAAGGAAUGCAAGGCUAAAGAGCCACCGGUAGUGGCAUUAUGGUUAAUUUCUUAAAUUGCAUUAUCUGUAAAUAAUGAGAAAAUAAUGGACUUUAUUUAAAAAAAUUUGAUAGGUUCAUCAAAAGAAGAACAAAAGAUUUUCAAUCUUAGCUUAUAAUUUUCUUUAAAGACCUUAAUACCCUUAACUUUGAAUUUAAUGUCAAAUAGGAGAUUAUUAAUCAAUUUACUUUAAUAUAAUAUAUUUCAAACAAUUUUAUAUAUAUACUAGAAGUGCAUGGCCCGUGUCAGCACGGGCCCAACACUAUAGACAUUUUUUAGCACCAAAAUUUGAUAUUGAUGAGGUACAAACAUAAAUGUACAUUUAUUUAAAAUGAUAAUUUUUUAAACAAUAACUAUUUGACGGUACUCGCUAAGAAGUGAAGUUUUAUAAGAUAGUUUUUUCACAUGAUAAGAAAGUGUGAUAUGUCGUGUAGUCGGGCUAUUUUAAUUAUUUGAUGAUAAGAUUGAGACCUGUUACAAAAUAUAGAAAAGGUGUAGAACUAAUAUUCAUGUGAUUAUUUCAUACAAAAAAUGGAACAAAAGAUACUUCAAUUAACAACAAAGUCUUGGAUCAUCUUCUCAAAGGCAAAACACUUAUAAAUACAGAUAUUGAAAUGUUUUGAACCACUACUAAGUUAAAAAAUUCUUAUAGAUGGGUGCAUAAUAUUAUCAGAUCUAGAUAUUCAAAUAUAACAACAGUUAGAAUUGAGGUGGCAGCACGAAAAAUAUUUUCAAGAUUAACUAUUGUGAUUUAUAAUACUUUUUAUGUAAUUUUUAAAUGAUAUAUAUUAUACCCUCUUUCUCAAUUUAUAUGGUAUUGAUACAAUUUUUGAGAGUUAACUAAAUUUUUUACAUAUUUUUAAAAUACUUUAAAUUAUUAAUUAUUGUGAUUUGUAGUGCUUUUUCUUCCGUUCUAAUUUAUGUGACAGUAAUAAAAUUUAGAGAGUCAACCAAAAUUUUUNNNNNNNNNNNNNNNNNNNNNNNNNNNNNNNNNNNNNNNNNNNNNNNNNNNNNNNNNNNNNNNNNNNNNNNNNNNNNNNNNNNNNNNNNNNNNNNNNNNNNNNNNNNNNNNNNNNAUUAAUUUUUUAAUACUUAGAUGAUUAAUUAAGAGCGGUAUUUAGUAAAAUUACAAUUGAAGCAGCUAAAAUAGACAUGUCAUAAAUGUCUAUUUUUUUAAUUAAAUAUUAUUAUUUUUUAAUACAUAAAUGACCUACAAUAAUUAAUUAGGGGUGAUACAGUAAAAUCAAAGAUGAAGGACGGCAACUUAAUUUUAAGCAUCAAGAGUUAAUUUAUCAUUUGUCGAUUUUAUUAUUUUAUUAAAUAUUAUUAGUUUUUUAAUACUUAGAUGACUCAUCAUAAUUAAUUAGGAGCGAUAUUUAGUAAAAUUAUGGUUGAAGCAGCUGCAACAAACAUGUCAUAAACGCAUAUUUUUCUUGUUUUAAUUAAAUGUUAUUAAUAUGCUAAUACACAAAUGACUUAUAAUAAUUAAUUAGGGGUGAUAUAGUAAAAUCAUGGCGCAGCUCUUGAAGCAGUCAUGUCGAAACCAAUGUUUUAAUUAAAUAUUAUGAUUUUUUAAAUACAUAAAUGACUUAUAAUAAUUAAUUAGGGGUGGUACGGUAAAAUCACGGUUGAAGGAGGUCAACUUAAUUUAAUACAUCAAAUGUUAAUUUAUCAUUUUAUGUUUAUUUUAUUUUUUUAAUAUUAUUAAAUUUUUAACACUUAGAUGACUCAUAAUAAUUAAUUAUGAGCGAUAUUUAGCAAAAUUAUGGUUGAAGCAGAUGCAUCAAACAUGUCAUCUAUUUUCUUUAAUUAAAUAUUAUUUAUUUUUUAAUACAUAAAUGCCUUAUAAUAAUUAAUUAGAAAUGAUAUAGUAAAAUCACGGUUAAAGCAGCUGAAACAAACAUCAUAAAUAUAUUUUUUUAAUUAAAUAUUAUUAAUUCUAAUAUAUAAAUGACUUAUAAUAAUUAAUUAGGGAUAUUAUGAUAAAUUACGGAACAAUUAGGGAUAAUAUAAUAAAUAAUGAAGCAGUUGGUCAAAACCAGCGCUUCUAUUAUAUAGAAAUAUAACUUAAAUAAAAGUAGCAUGUAGGUACUCACCUUCAUUCUAAAUACAAUGAGAAAUACAUUUUUUUAUAGAAUAAUUAUAUCUUUUCAGAAAAAAAAGAUAAAUAAAAAUUAAAAAUAGAUGAUAGAUAGAGGGCCUGCAUGUGAAAAGGAAUGCAAGGCUAGAGAGCCAACUGUAGUGGCAUUAUGGUAAAUUUCUUAAAUGACAUUAUCUGUAAAUAAUGAGAAAAUAAUGGACUUUAUUUUAAAAUUUUUGAUAGGUUCAUCAAAAGAAGCACAAAAGAUUUUCAAUCUCAACUUAUAAUCUUCUUCAAAGACCUUAAUACCCUUAACUUUGAAUUUAAUGUUAAAUAGGAGACAUGUUGAAACCACUCUUUCUAAUAUAUAGAAAAGAAAAGUAGGAUUGAAUGUUGGUUGAAUCUUAAUUGCAACCAACAUCCAAUCCUACUUAUAUAUUUAUAUGGAGGGUGUAAAUAAUAAUUUCGUAUAAUCUUAAUCGGUUAUCGAUUUACCCAAUAACCCAAUAAAAAAAUUAAAAUCGAAUCAAUAACCCAAUAAUUUUCUUAUAAAAUCAUUAAAAAUUCGUUAACCCAAUAAAGAUAAGUCAAUAAUAUUUUUAUUGAUUCGAUUUUUAUACACCCGUAACUUAAAUUGCGAUUUCUUACUUUAUUAAUUAUAAUAAAAAAUGUGUUUGUCCAUGUAAGUUUCCUCACAAUCCUAAUCAAAACGCUAAUCAGAAACUAACAUGAAAAAUUAAUCGAAAAAAAUAAUUUUAUAUUUUUAGCACACACAUUAAAAAAAAACUAAGUAAAGGGGAGUGGGUGACCGAUGGAAAUUCUUCAAAUGAAGUUUAGUAGUGGAGCUUAGUAUGGAUCCAAAAAUGGACACUAGCUACCUUAAUUUUUUACUAACAACUUAAACUUGAAAAGGAAGAAAACAAANNNNNNNNNNNNNNNNNNNNNNNNNNNNNNNNNNNNNNNNNNNNNNNNNNNNNNNNNNNNNNNNNNNNNNNNNNNNNNNNNGGUGGGGUGAGAGGGUUCUACAAGGGGUGGGGUGAGUUAAAUUUAAAAAUGGAAAAAGUAAAAGUGAUGUGAUGUGGUCAGAUGUAAGUUGUAAUGAUUUAUUACAACUUGCAAACAUUGUUUGUAGUUUGUAAUAAAUUAUUACGUUUUACAAACACUGUUUGUAAAACGUAAUAAAUUAUUAUAAACUAUAUGAUUUGACAUAAAGAAGAUGUAACAACACAUUGUUUUUUGGUUUUGGUUUUUUGUGCAAAACGUAAUAAAUUAUUACGUUUUACAAAUCGUGUUGACCGUUAGUUGAUCGUUAAGAAAAAAGUGAAAAACGUAAUAAUUUAUUACAUUCAGCCUAUUUUGAUAACUUUUUAAAUAGGUAGCCUAUUUUGGUCACUUUUUUUAUUUUGUGGUUUGUUUUGGUUCCGAGUUCACAAAUGGGAAUUAACUAAUUAGUCAUAAUAAGGUAAUUAAGUAGAUAAUAUCAUUGUUGCUACCAUGAAUUGAACUGUUAGAUUAAUGUUGAUUUUUUAAAAAAAAAAAAAUGGGGCAGCAGAAAUGAGUUAAAAUGACUGUCUUUGGAUUGAAAUGACUUUCUAAGCUUUUAACAACUUUCAAUAAUUUUACUAAGCAUGAGACGACUUUAAAUAGCCAAUUUGAAAAAUCAAAUCUGUAUAAUUUAAAAUUAAAAAACCUAAACUAUCUCAACAAAGUAAUCUCUAUCUAAGACAAAUUUCAAAGGCAAAUUUAUCCUAAAAAUUAGGAACUUAUUAUACUAAAAAAGUUACUGCAGUAACUAAAGUAAAAUUCAACACUUCUCCUUUACUUUAGUUACUGCAAUUUUAAAAGAUUGCUCCUGCUCAAUUUUUGUUCCCGUAGUUGAUGCACUUUUUCUUUUAGAUAUUGAUCUUUCUCUUCUUUCUUUUGAUUCUUUGAUGAAAAAAUACCACCGACAAUCUUGUCUUGUUUGGAAGUACCUUCAUAGGCGUUGCACACUGUUGUAAGGAUUUUUCACCCAUCAUAACAUCACAAAAAGGAUAGAUUUCAAGAUAUGAUUGUCACAGACCAAAUUUGAUAUUUUUUAUCAGUAAAAAUUUUUGGGGCAUUCAAAAAGAGACGGUUGCUUGACAUCUUUUUGAUUGAAAAUAGCCCUACCUUUGAAAAUAAGCAUGGAUUGAAAAUGAUAGCCCUAACGGGUUAAAAUGAAUAGCCCCGAUGGGUUAAAAAAAUAGCCUGUUAAUGGUAUGGUAGAAUUUUGGAAGAACUCACAGAUCCCGUAAGAUAAUGAGGCUCUUGAUACCACUGUUGAUUUUUUUUUUGUUUAAAUGAAGCAGCAAAAGGGGGUUAAAAUGACUCUUUUUGAAUAACUUUUAAUACGCUUUUAACAGCUUUCAAUAAUUUUAUUAAUCAUAGAGGAUUUUAAAUAUCCAACUUGAAACAACAAAUUUGCAUAAUUUGAAAUUCAAAAAUCUAAACUACCUCAACAAAUUAAUCUAUAUCUAAUUCAAAUUUAUCCUAAAAAUUAAGAACUUAUUAUACUAAAAAAAGUUAUUGCAGUAACUAAAAUAAACUUCAACAAUUAAUUCAUUAUUCAUCUAUGCUUAUGGAUCCCUUAGGGUGUGUUUGGUAUGAUGGAAAAUGUUUUCUGAAAACUAUUUUCUUAUUUUCUCUUAUUUGGUUGUAGUUAAAUGUUGGAAAAAUGUUUUUCAUAACAACUCAUUUUCCUCCAUUUGAGGGAAAAUGAUUUUCCUCAUGGACCAAGGGAAGUCAUUUUUUGGAAAAUGACAAAUGUGACUUAUGCCCCCACCCCCACCCCAUCAACACUAAUAUUAACAUUUUUUAAUAAAUUCACAUUACUCGAAAAUAUUUUUCACUGUGCUUUGCUUCAAUUUUUCACUGCUCAAAAUAAAAAAUAGUGAAGCCCGAUUUUUUUUCUUUUUCAAUAUUCGUUGAAUGUAUUGUCAUUUCCAUAUGUAUAGAGGAAUUGUCAUUUCCAUAUGUAUAGAGGAAGACUUACCUAUGCUACUUUUGCUAAUUGCAUAUUUCAUUUUUCCAUCGAUGUAGCUUAUUUCACAAGGUUGAAUAAGCUUGUCGUUCCGUUGUAUUUCUAUUGAUUGUAGUAUCUUGAAAUUGUCCUAAUAAAAUGUUGAAAAAUGUCUCUUAUAUUUGCUAAUUAGUAGUUGAUUAAAUUUAGUGAUUGUAAUAUUUUAGUAUUCGAUAUUGAUAUUAUUUGCUAUACUUAAAUUAGUUCUUACAAAUUGUUGAGUUGCUAGAGACACUAAUAUACUAGUUAACAGUUAGUAGUGUUUUCUAAAACAUAUUUUUUCACUCACCGAUCAAACACUAGAAAAUAUAAAAAAUAUUUUUUACUCACCAACCAAACACUAUAAAAUAUUUCUAGAAAAUAUUUUUCACUCGUCAACCAAACAUGAGAAAAUAAGUAAAAAACCAACUUAUUUUUCAGAAAAACUUUUUUCAGGAAAAUAUUUUGAAUGAAAAAUAUUUUCCAUCCUACCAAACACACCCUUAGUCAAACAUUAUUUGUCGUUUUCACUCUUAGAAAUAGAUUUCACAUUAACAAAAUUAUUGUUAAAUUAUUUUUCGAUAUAUAUAUAUAUUGUAUAAGAGGUGUUUAUAUAUUUUUAUAUGUUGUUAUUAUUACCUUAUUAUAUAAGAAUCAAUUUGGUCUACAAGCAAGCACCUCUUCCUCAACAUGAUGGGAGCAAUUUAGUCAUUUCAAGAGCUACUUUAAAUGAAUUGAUAUUUGCUAGCCACGUGUAACCUUUUGUUGAAUUUUUGGACCCCACACUUUAUUUUAAUUUUUUUUGUCUACUAAAUUACUCUUACAACUCAUGAACAUUUUUGGGAUUGGAAAAGAAAAACUCAAUAGUGAGAUAAAUGACCUCUUAGCUUUACAUUCUUAUAUUUUCGUACAACAAAUAUUAUGAUAACUUUCUCACAUUAAAACAUUUUAUAAUCAAACUUAAAGUUUACCAAGCUAAUUAGAUGUGGCUAAUGGAUAUAUAUAUUGAACAAGAAGGAAAUACCGCUACUCAAAAAAUAAAAAAUAUGUAAUAUUAACUUUUGUAUCGACUACUUUCUUCGGAUUAAUCAAUAUAUAUAGGGCAAAGUUACAAAUAUACCCUUGAACUUUGAUAAAUAGUAUAAAUAUACCUUCCGUCAUACUUUGGAUACAAAUAUACCCUUGUUGUUAAUGAAAAGGUACAAAUAUACCCUUAUCACUAACGGCGGGACACGUGUCACGAUCGUAUUCCUCCACUAGUGAUAAAGAUAUAUUUGUACCAUUUAUCCAAGUUCGAGGGUAUAUUUGUACCUUUUCCAAUUUUAUAAUUUACUUUCUCUGUUCCAUAUUAGUUGAUCAUUUUGCUAAAAAUAACUACUUUAUAUUAAUUGUCCAUUAUACUAAAUCAAAAAAACAUUAAUUAAAUUUAAAUUAUAUUAUCCUUGUAGUUAAUUUAUUCUGAAAGUCUUCACAGUUGUUUAUAAAGUUUUCAAGAUUUUUUUUAUAGUGUGAAUUCGUAAAAGAAAAACUUACCAAAAUAUACUAUAUUUAAAAACUUUUACCAUUUAUAGCUGUAUAAUUUUAAUAUAUGCAUAAUCUUACAAUCUAAUUAGAGGGAAAGGCUACGGAAGCAGGCAACUCUCCGUCAGCAAGCCUGCUACUCCUGCUUGCUUCAUCAGCUACUUGCUUCAUGAUUUUACUAUAUUAUCUCUAAUUAAUUAUUACAAGUCAUUUAUAUAUUAAAAAAUUAAUAAUAUUUAAUAAAAAAUCAAUUAUAUAUAUAUUUUUAAUAUAUAUAUAUAUAUAUAUAUAUAUAUAUAUAUAUAUAAUUUUACAAAGAUUAAUUAAUUUGAUAAAUUAAUAAAAGUAAUAACUAACUAUUCUUUGAUGACAAUAUUUUCACUUCAAACAUGAGUCUGUUUUUAUAAAAUGGGACGAAUAGAGUACUCUUGUAAGGACAUGCAAAAAAUAAACAUGAUAAAUAAAUGGAUCGAAUUGAGUAAUAAUUAUUUUUAAUAAAAUGAUCAAUUAAUAUGGAACGGAGAAAGUAAAUUAUAAAACUGAAAAAGGAACAAAUAUACCCUCGAACUUUGAUAAAUGGUACAAAUAUACCCUUAUCACUAAUGGAGGAAUACGAUCGUGACACCGCCGUUAGUGAUAAGGAUAUAUUUGUACCUUUUCAUUAACGAUAAGGAUAUAUUUGUACUCAAAGUAUGACGGAGGAUAUAUUUGUACCAUUUAUCAAAAUUUGAAGGUAUAUUUGUACUUUUUUCUAUAAAAUUAUGAAACAAGUAGCUGAUGAAGUAGACACGAGUAGUAGGCUUGCUGAUGGAGAGUUGCCUGCUUCCGUGGCCUUUCCCUCUUAUUAGAUAGUAAGAUUAUGCGUAUAUUAAAAUUAUACAGCUAUAAAUGGUAAAAAAAAUUAAAUAUAGUAUAUUUUGGUAAAUUUUUCUUUUAUGAAUUCACACCAUAAAAAAUUUCUUGAAAAUUUUAUAAACAAAUGUGAAGACUUUCAGAAUGAAUUAACUAUAAGGAUAAUAUAAUUUAAAUUUAAUCAUUAUUUUUUUGAUUUAGUAUAAUGGAUAAUUAAUAUAAAAUAAUUAUAUUUAACAAAAUGAUUAACUAAUAUGGAACGGAGAAAGUAAAUUAUAAAAUUGAAAAAGGUACAAAUAUACCCUCGAACUUUGAUAAAUGGUACAAAUAUACCCUUAUCACUAAUGGAGGAACACNNNNNNNNNNNNNNNNNNNNNNNNNNNNNNNNNNNNNNNNNNNNNNNNNNNNNNNNNNNNNNNNNNNNNNNNNNNNNNNNNNNNNNNNNNNNNNNNNNNNNNNNNNNNNNNNNNNNNNNNNNNNNNNNNNNNNNNNNNNNNNNNNNNNNNNNNNNNNNNNNNNNNNNNNNNNNNNNNNNNNNNNNNNNNNNNNNNNNNNNNNNNNNNNNNNNNNNNNNNNNNNNNNNNNNNNNNNNNNNNNNNNNNNNNNNNNNNNNNNNNNNNNNNNNNNNNNNNNNNNNNNNNNNNNNNNNNNUAUAUAUAAAGGAGAAAUAUGACUUUGUUGACGUGGCGCUCUCUAAGGCUUUGAAUCUUAUUUAUCUUUUUUGUAGUUUUUUAAAACUUUUUAAUUCAUUUUGCAAGCUAAAAAAAUUAAUAAUUCAUUAUUUUUAUUUACCCACAUUCCUUUCCUACUAAGGCCUCAUUUGUUUGCACUUAAUGGAGGUCUGAAUCUGAAUGGUUCAGACUUUAGACCAUUAAGCGCAUUUGUUUUUUAUUAAGGUUUUAACUCUUAAUAGGUCUGAAUAGGUCUUAAUCAUUCAGAUCUAGAACCAAGCCUUAAUAGGUCUGAAGGGAUAUUCUGGUGUUGGAUAAUAUUCACUACUCUAUUCAUAUUUAGCAGUCACCACCACUAACCACCUCUGCCACUGUCACCAUUAUCAGCUGCCACCCACCACCACCAACCACCUCCACCAUCACAACCACCAUCGACAAAAAAUAGCGCUACCAACCACAAUUGUCAACCGCUACCACACCUACUACCUCUUUUAUUCUAAUUAUAUUCACCGCCACCAUUGCCGUCAACAACACCAUAAUCAGCAGCCACUACCGGUCAAUCCCUACUACCAACCAACUCAUCUAUCACAACUAGCACCACCACUAACUACCACUAAUACAUCACAACCUCUACACAUUCUUUGGUCUCCACCACAAUUGUCACUAGUAACGCCACCUCUAUCACCACUUCAACCAGUACCAUCGCUACAAUUUAUCUCUACUAACAAUCAUCUCCACAAUCACAAAAAAUAACAUCUCCAACUAGUACCAAUACAUCGUCAAUCAUAAUGCAUUCAUGUUUCAACCAACACAAUCAACACCUUAAACUACUAACAUCAAGCAACGUCACAUCACAACCACCACCACCAUCAAUCGCCACCAUCAUAACAGUCACUACAAUAACAACAAUCACAAUUAUCACCACCAACAUUAUUAAUCACUAACAUCAAUCAUCGUCACCGCAACCACCAUUAUAAGUCAUCUCCAAUAUCACUAACAAACAUAAAUGUUUUUUCUCAAUCAAAUACUAAUAAUUUUGUUGUAUUAAAUUACAUACUUUUUUAAUAUAUAAUUAAUUUUUUAUUUGAAUUGUAUUUUUUAUUUUAUUAUGUAUACAAAUAAUUUUUUUUUACACAUUCAGAUGUUGAAAAAAUAAAUAGUCUUAAUCAUUCAGUUUUCAAAUCUAAAGACAACAUCUUAAUCAUUCAGAUUUGCAUUCAGAUUCAGACGUUUGAAUCUUAAAAAAAAAAAUGGAGCCUAAUACUCAUUAAUUCAAUCUAUUCAAUAUUUCAAUACAUACAAAUAGAAACAUUAUUUCAUUUCAGUUACACAUUUUUCACCCCUUAUAUUUUACAAUAUUUUCGUAAAUACAUGUUUAUUGUUUUACUAUAAAUACCAACAGAGAUGUUGGCAUGACAACCAGUUUUGUAUUCUUCAUGUCAUGCGAUGAUCGCAACCAGUUUUGCAUUCUUCAUGUUAUGCGAUGAUAUGCUACUGUGCGUCCAAUUUUCAGUGUCUCUUUGGUGAGAUUUUUUUUUCUUUACCAUUUUAUUCUAUUUUUUUAAAUUUAUUUUUUCUUUAGAAGUGAGUGAGUUUUUCUUACUAAUCAAUUUAGUUGCAAUUUUCACAAAACUUCUGUUUCUAUUUACUGUCUCUUGUAUUGCGAUUUUUUUAUUUAAUUUGCAUUAUGAGGUAAAAUUAUUUUCUUCAUUUAUCACAUGUUGUUUCCUUUAAUUUGUUGUUCGGUUGAUUUAAUUUAGUAACUCUUUCAGACUCGGUAAAAAGCUCAAUCGUCUAGAAGAAUUGAAUGGUAAUCGGGUUGUGAAGUGAAUAUCGAUGAGAGUUUGAAAUUGUACAUUUUCUUUAUUUCUUAUUUUUUAUGAUAAAGAUUGCAAUAAUAACGUUGUAUUCUUAAUUAAUUUUUAUAUAUUCUCUCUAUAUUUUUAUUCUAUUUUGUGUUUUAUAUGAAUUUCUAAUUGGUGUAAAUUCAUAAUUUCUUUUGAUUCAAAAUAGUGUCUCUGAAUUUAUUCAAAAUAUGUCAACCAUAGUCUUUUGAAAAAAAAAAAAAACUCAUUGUAUAUUAAAAAAUAUUUUAUGUAACUGAAAAAAAAAUGAAUGAAAAUACUAAAGAUGAUAAUUAGCCUCUUGAAUAUGAAGAGGAAAGAAAUGACAAAUAUUAAUUGUAAUAAAUUCAUCAAUCAAAUACUAGCAUAUAAAUACAUUAUGGUAAAGAAAAAUUGUGAAAAUUAUGAGAUAAAUAUUUGAUUGUUGUGAACUUUUGCUACUAUCUAUUGUCUCUAGUAUUUUGAUUAUUUUAUUGAAUUUGUAAUAUCAGGUACAAUCAUUUUCUUUUGUCACAUGUUGUUUCCUUUAAUUUGUUAUUCAGGUGAUUUAAUUUAGUAGUUUUUUCAGACUCGGUAAAAUGCUAAAUCUUCUGAAAGACUUGAAUGGUAAUUGGCUUGUGUAGUGAAUGUUGACGAGAGUUUGAAAGAUUGUACAUUUUUUCAUAUAUUUUUUUAUUUUUUAGUGAUAAAAUUACAAUAAUGACUUGUAUUCUUAAUUAUUUUUUAUGUAUUCUCUCUAUGUUUUUAUUUUUAUUUUAUAUUUUAUAUGAAUUUCUAAUUGGUGUAAAUUCAUAAUUUCUUUUGGUUCAAAAUAGUAUCUCUGACUUUAUUCAAAAUAUGCCGACCAUAGUCUUUUGAAAAAAAGAAAAGUUCAUUGUAUCUUAACGAUAUCUUAUGUAACUGGACAAAAAAAACUAAUGACAACAUUGAAGAGGAAAUAAAUGAGAAAUAUUAAUUGUAAUAAAUUCAUCAAUCAAACACUAAACAUAUAAAUACAUUAUGUUAAAGAAGAAUUGUGAAAAUUAUGAGAUAAAAGCUUUUUGUAGUUUUCUUAGACUUUUUAAUUCAUUCUUCAAGCAAAAAAUAAAUUAAUUAUUCAUUAUUUUUAUUUACACACAUUCUUUUUCUACUAAUACUCAUUAAUUCAAUCUAUUUAAUGCUGUUGUAAAUAGGAACAUUAUUUCAUUUCAGCUACACAUCUUUCACCUCCCAUAUUUUUUGAUAUUUUCAUAAAUACAUGUUUAUUGUUUUACUAUAAAUACCAACUGAGAUGUUGGCAUGACAACUAGCUUUGUAUUCUUCAUGUCAUGCGAUGAUCGCAAUUAGUUUUGUAUUCUUCAUGUCAUCCGCUGAUAUGCUACUUUGCGUUCAAUUUUUGAUGUCUCUUUGGUGAGAUUUUUUUUCUUUAUCAUUUUCUCCUAAUUUCUUUUAUUUAUUUUUUCUUUAGAAGUGAGUGAUUUUUUCUUACUAAUCAAUUUAGUUGCAAUUUUCUCAAAACUUCUGCUUCUAUCUAUUGUCUCUUGUAUUUCGAUUAUUUUAUUGAAUUUGCAAUAUGAGGUAAAUCUUUUUUUUUUUUAAUCACGUGUUGUUUCCUUUAAUUUGUUAUUGAGUUGAUUUAAUUUAGUAACUUUUUGAGACUCGGUAAAAUGCUCAAUCGUCUAGAAGAAUUGAAUGGUAAUCGGCUUGUGAAGUGAAUGUCGGCGAGAGUUUGAAAGAUUGUACAUUUUCUUCAUUUUUUUUAUUUUUUAAUGAUAAAGAUUGCAAUAAUAACGUUGUAUUAUUAAUUAAUUUUUAUAUGUUCUCUCUAUAUUUUUAUUUUAUUUUGUGUUUUAUAUGAAUUUUUAAUUGGUGUAAAUUCAUAAUUUUUUUUGGUUCAAAAUAGUGUCUCUUUAUUUAUUCAAAAUAUGCCAACCAUAGUUUUUGAAAAAAAAAAAACUACAUUUUAUGUAACUGAAAAAAAUAAAAUUAUUAAAGAUGAUAAUCAACCCCUUGAAUAUGAAGAGGAGAGAAAUGACAAAUAUUAAUUGUAAUAAAUUCAUCAAUCAAAUACUAGACAUAUAAAUACAUUAUGGGUUGGAAAAUUGGGAAAAAAUUUGAGAGAAAAACCAAGAAAGAGAGAGGAGGAAGAAAGAAAAAGAAAGAAAAUUCCUAAGAGGUUCAAUCUUUCAAUAGAAAUUCUGUUGAUUUUUUUAGAGAAUUCGUCAGCUAGGAAAGAGGCUCUGAGUUGACGACAAUAUUUUCUGGUGGUCAAAAUCCUAUCAUCAACUCGUCGUCCCAUUUUGCUGCCCAAAAAUCGGUUAGUGCUCGAUUCUUUCUUUGUUGCCGUGUUAUAAUGGUCGUAGCAGUAGAGUUUUGGUUUUGAUUAUUGCGUUGUAUGUUGUUUCUUUCUGUAGUGGCCUUAAAAGGCCAUAGACUUGAUGAUGUUCGAAUAACGUUACAGUACUACGUUGAUCAACUAUUUGAGCCCCAUUUGUUCAUUUGUGGGUAUGGCUUCAUAUUUCUGUAAGAGUGUAAGAGUGAGGGAUGUUGUUGUAUUUAGAAUUUUCUUUAUUAGUGUAAAAAUAUUGUUUGUUUUGAUCCAUCUCUGCUCGAGGUUGGUCGAUUUGAAUCUUUGUUCCCUUUUGUGAAAUGGUCCAAGUGGUGUUAUUCUUAUUCUCAGGAAUUUCCACUAAUUCAUCCUUUUGUCUUCGAAAGACACUCAAAAGGGUUUAUAAUCAAAACUAAAAAUCAUUUUUUUUUAUUUAUCUCCUGGUGAGUUAAACUUUUUUUUUUGUGGAUUGCUUCAAAUAUUAAUGUUUUUGUUCCUGAAAGUUUCCACUGGUUCAUCCUUUUGGCUUCGAAAGAGACUCGAAAGGGGUUGGAAUCAAGACUAAAUUUUUUUUUUAUUUAUCUCCUGGUGAUUUAAACUUUUUUGGUUGAUUGGUUCAAAUAUUAAUGUUCUUGUUCCUGAAAAUUUUCACUAGUUCAUCCUUUUGGGUUGGAAAGAGACCCGAAAGGGGUUGGAAUCAAGAUUAAAAUUAAUUUUUGAUCCAUCUUCGCACGAUUUGAAUCCUUUAAUGAAUUGGUUAAAACAUCAAUUUUAUAAAUUUGAAAGCUCUCACCGAUUCACCUUUUCAGUCUUAAAAAAACUUAAAGGGGUUAGAAAAACUUAAAGGGGUUAGAAUUGAGAUUAAAUCUACCUGUCUGACUCGUUUUAUUGGAUCUUUUUCCUAUUUCUUUUAAGAUAUCUGAUAGAUAACAUGUGCAUUCUGAUAAGUUUAUAAUGUUCAGUUUAUCAUUAUAUAAAUGAUGUCAUUCAUUUUGAAUCAUAAGUCGUAACGUAUAUUGGCGCAAAUGAAAUUUAUUUUACUUUAAUGCUUCUGUAAGGAAAAUGGCCUUGAUGAAUUACUUCUUCACAAUAUUAUUUGAAUCCAUAUCUUGGGUGUAGUUUUCUAGGAGAACAUGCUAUAGUUAUUCUUUAGCUACUGCUGAAAGUUCUUUCUUGUUGUUUUCAUUAUGUUCCCGCAACAGGUGAGACAUGCAUUCGGGGUUAUAAUCAUUGCCUAAUACAUAGCAAUGGGGGACAUACUUUCUUUCUUUUUUAGUAUUUGGUAUUUAGGAGGUACUUAAAGAAGCGGAUUUAUGUUAUAAGGUUAAUCAGAAUCUACAAGGUUAUGUCUUUUAGUGUGUUAUUUGGAGUAUCCUGUUCAUGGUAUUAUUAGACUUAUCACUUGUUGUUGUAUUGCUUGAAAUUUCCAUUGUACCAUUAAUUUCUUUAACAUGUUAAUCCCUAAUUCGGAAUACUUAUUAACUCCUUCCUUGUUUUUUUUCCUUUUUCCUUUGCAUGCACCCACUUCGGAGUCUAGGAGUCUAAACGGACUCCUUCUCUCUUUGCAUUUCGUGAAUGGGCCAACAAGGCCUCUCCUCUGAGUCGAACCCUAAAUAAUGACUAAAAUGAAUUGCAUGGCGCACGGAUAUAAGGAGUUGAAAGGAGAAGAAUGAGUUAAAGUUCCCUCGAAACGUCUAAGAGACUUGAACGUCUCUUUGGUUUAUUUAUUCAUUCUGUGGUUGUAUUUAUUUAUUUAGUUUAUUAUUCAUUAGUUUGGGCCACGAAGCUAAGGUUGUAUUUAGUACAAGUGGAGCGAGACUCGAGUCAAAUGCUCAAAAGUUAGAUUAGCACAAGUGAAAUGAGUCGAAGGCCCAAUUAGACUAGGACAGGUCUUAUUGAUUUGGGCCCAAUGGCCUGAAUCCUUUACUUCCUCCCCUUCCCUUUUUUCUUAAAAAAAAAAAAUACAUUAUGGUAAAGAAGAAUAGUGCAAAUUAUGAGAUAAAUAUCUGAUUAUUGUGAACUUCUGCUACUAUUUAUUGUCUUGUAUUUUGAUUAUUUUACAGGAUUUGCAAUAUGCAAUAAAAUCAUUUACUUCUUUUAUCACAUGUUGUUUCCUUUAAUUUGUUAUUCAGGUGAUUUAAUUUAGUAGCUUUUUCAGACUAGAAGAAUUGAACGGUAAUCGAUUUGUGAAGUGAAUGUCGACGAGAGUUUGAAAGAUUUUACAUUUUCUUUAUUUUUUUUAAUGAUAAAAAUUACAAUAAUGACGUUGUAUUCUUAAUUAGUUUUUAUAUAUUCUCUCAAUGCUUUUAUUUUUAUUUUGUAUUUUAUAUGAAUUUUUGAUUGGAACAAAUUCAUAAUUUCUUUUGGUUCAAAAUAGUAUCUCUGGCUUUAUUCAAAAUAUGUCAACCAUAGUCUUUUGAAAAAAAAAAAGUUCAUUGUAUCUUAAAGAUUCUUAUGUAACUGGAAAAAAAAUUAAUGACAACAUUAAAGAGGAAAGAAACGAAAAAUAUUAAUUGUAAUAAAUUCAUCAAUCAAACACUAAAAUUGUGAAAAUUACGAGAUAAAAUUUUUUUGUAGCUUUUUUGAACUUUAUAAUUCAUUUUGCAAACUAAAAAAAAUUAAUUAUUCAUUAUUUUUAUUUACCCACAUUCCUUUCCCACUAAUACUCAUUAAUUCAAUCUAUUUAAUACUGAUGUAAAUAGGGACAUUAUUUUAUUUCAGUUUCACAUCUUUCACCUCCCAUAUUUUUCAAUAUUUUCAUAAAUACAUGUUUAUCGUUUUACUAUAAAUACCAACAGAGAUGUUGGCAUGACAACCAGUUUUGUAUUCUUCAUGUCAUGCGAUGAUCACAACCAGUCUUGUAUUCUUCGUGUCAUGCGAUGAUAUGCUAAUGUGCGUUCAAUUUUUUGUGUCUCUUUGGUGAGACUUUUUUUCUUUACCAUUUUCUCCUAAAUUUUUUUUAAAAAUUCUUUAGAAGUGAUCAAGUGAGUUUUUCUUACUAAUCAACUUAGUUGCAAUUUUCACAAAAUUUCUGCUUCUAUCUAUUGUCUCUUGUAUUUCGAUUGUUUUAUUGAAUUUGCAAUAUGAGGUAAAAAAAAAAUUAUUACAUGUUAUUUUCUUUAAUUUGUUGUUCAAUUGAUUUAAUUUAGUAACUUUUUCAGACUCGGUAAAAUGCUCAAUCGUCUAGAAAAAUUGAAUAGUAAUCAGGUUGUGAAGUGAAUGUCGGCGAGAGUUUGAAAGAUUGUACAUUUUCUUCAUUUUUUUAUUUUUUAAUGAUAAAGAUUACAAUAACAACGUUGUAUUUUUAAUUAAUUUUUAUAUAUUCUCUCUAUGUUUUUAUUUUAUUUCAUGUUUUAUAUGAGUUUCUAAUUGGUGUAAAUUCAUAAUUUCUUUUGGUUCAAAAUUAUGUCGCUGACUUUAGUCAAAAUAUGCCAACCAUAGUCUUUUGGAAAAAAAAGUUCAUUGUAUCUUAAAGACAUUUUAUGUAACUGAAAAAAAUUAAUGAAAAUAUUAAAGAUGACAAUUAACCUCUUAAAUAUGAAGAGGAAAGAAAUAACAAUUAUUAAUUGUAAUAAAUUUAUCAAUCAAAUACUAUACAUAUAAAUACAUUAUGGUAAAGAAGAAUUGUGAAAAUUAUGAGAUAAACAUCUGAUUGUUGUGAACUUCUGCUUUUAUCUAUUGUCUCUCGUAUUUUGAUUAUUUUAUUGGAUUUGUAAUAUGAGGUAAAAUCAUUGCUGAGGAGAUGGAGCUGGUGCGCGAAGCUAUGAGGGAUGCUGGGAGUGCGAUCUAGUAAGAGUAAAUUAGUUACAAUAUAUUAAUUAGCGAUUGUAAGUUAUGCCGUUAGUAAAUUCUACAUAAUUAAUAGUAUUAGGUUUGUAGCUGAUGAGGAGGUUGGUUUAAUUUAUUUUUUUUUUUUUAAAAAAAAAAUAUAUAUAUAUAUAUAUAUAUAACUAAUACGUACGUAUAUAAGUUAUGAGCAGAAUAGUACUUGGAGCCCUGUAAGCCAUUGUUUAGGAGAUCUAUCUUGAGGAACUUACAAAGUGAUUUCUACAUUCUCUUCCAUGGCACUUGGUAUUGGACUACUAUUGGCAUUUUCCAUGGCCAAAUUGAAUAUAACUUCUUGAAGACUCACUAUUUGGUUGUCUUUUAGCUUUAUUUCUAUAAUUCUUAGUUUUGCAGUUCAUUAUUGGUGAUGGAAAUAACGUUUAUGAUUUCCCUAUAAAGAAAUGUGCUUGUUCCAAGCUGGUUAAUUUGUCUUUGAUAUGAUGAUACCUGUACUGUACAAUUCACCUACCUACCCUUUUGUUUCCUCUAAUCAUCUCUGUGUUUUUUCUCAUGCCAAUAUUUUUUGUCUGGUACGUUUAGCCUUUGUUGUAUUACCAAUAUUGUUUGUUUAGUACAUUGCGGAAGAGUACUAACUACAACUUGUGAAAACCUUUGACAGCUAGCUACAUGAACAAGAAGAGCAUCUUAAAUUUGAAAAAUAUAGAAGUGUUGACCGUAAACUUCCGUUGUAAUUAUGUUGAUGAAACACACAACAAUUACAAAAGUAUUCCUACCUUUGUUUCGUAAGUUUCAAAAGUAUUCCUUUAUUUCGUAAAAUCCCUCUCUCUUCAAUCAAACACCACAAAAGACUUGGAAAUGACAUCCAAUUACUCCAAAACUUGGAAUUAAUUAGGCAAUGAACUCAACGAGUUCCUCAUUGCGUUCAAAUUCAGACAUUUGUUGCUUGUGCAACAUCACCCGCGCCUCCACGCCUUGCCCAGCUUUGUAAUCUUUCAAGAAGAAGGCAUUCUUGGAGGGACCAUUUCCUAGACACACCCUUUCAGGUCUUCCCCAUCCAAAAUCUACAGUGUAGUAUGGAUAUUUGCAAAGAUUGCUGCAAGUAUACACAUUCUUAUAGCCAUCCAUAUUUUCAAAUGGCAGUUUCCCUUCUCUCAUUGAUUCUACUACUUCUAGGAUCAGUUCAUUUUGUUCGACUUGGUCUUUCUUGUAUGCCACCUCAACUUCCUUCCUUAAAUUACGAACCAACGUUGGCAACUCCAUGUCCUGCAUGUUAGUUGCUUCUAUGGAGAAAAUAGACGAGAGAUUUCCAAUGGCAUUUCGUGGUAGACGAGGUUUGAUCAUAGUACGUAUGUUUAAGAAGUGAACCAACUUUGAUGGUAGCAUUGAUGAUGAUGCCUUUGUUGCACAUUUGAAAAGAAGAGCGCUAACAACUUCAGCCCUUGUUGGAUUUUUUACUCCUGAUUCUUCUGCCACCUUCAAUCCCAAAUUAAUGUCAACCAAACUAAAUUUAUUUUAAAAUAAUUAUUCAGUACUUUUCAUUUCAGAAAAACUACAAGUAUUUAUUACUGCAUUCUUUUAUAUUUUCCACUUUACUGUUCGAUAAUUAAGUGGAGUGUUAUUAAGUAAAUGACAUGUCCAAGAGUAGUUUUUGACACCAAUAAGUGGAAUGCUAUUAACUAAGUGAGGCGUUUAAG
rnacentral:lncRNA from 1 species